rnacentral:rRNA from 1 species
CCUACGGGAGGCAGCAGUAGGGAAUUUUCGGCAAUGGGGGGAACCCUGACCGAGCAACGCCGCGUGAACGAAGAAGUUAUUCGUAAUGUAAAGUUCUUUUAACAGGGAAGAAAGAGAAAUUUGACGGUACCUGAAGAAUAAGCUCCGGCUAACUACGUGCCAGCAGCCGCGGUAAUACGUAGGGAGCGAGCGUGAUCCGGAAUUAUUGGGCGUAAAGGGUGCGUAGAUGGCAAAGUAAGUCUUUUGUAAAAAUGCUGGGCUCAACCCAGUAGGGCAAAAGAUACUGCAAAGCUAGAGUAUGCCAGAGGCAAGUGGAACUACAUGUGUAGCGGUCAAAUGCGUACAUCUCUGUA